GGGCGUUUGGCACAGUGGUAGCGCGCAUGCUUUGCACCUUUUGGAUUAAUUGCAUGAGGUCGAGGGUUCAAACCCCUCAACGUCCA
rfam:Laetiporus sulphureus 93-53 unplaced genomic scaffold LAESTscaffold_75, whole genome shotgun sequence.